rnacentral:rRNA from 1 species
GGGGUGCAGCAGGCGCGAAAACUUUGCAAUGCGGGAAACCGUGACAAGGGAACUCUGAGUGCCCGUUAAAUCGGGCUGUCCACCGGUUUAAAUAACCGGUGAAGAAAGGGCCGGGCAAGACCGGUGCCAGCCGCCGCGGUAAUACCGGCGGCUCGAGUGGUGGCCACUAUUACUGGGCUUAAAGCGUUCGUAGCUGGUUUGUUAAGUCUCUGGGGAAAUCUUCCGGCUUAACCGGAAGGCGUCUCAGGGAUACUGGCAGACUAGGGACCGGGAGAGGUGAGAGGUACUCCAGGGGUAGGAGUGAAAUCCUGUAAUCCUUGGGGGACCACCUGUGGCGAAGGCGUCUCACCAGAACGGCUCCGACAGUGAGGGACGAAAGCUGGGGGAGCAAACCGGAUUAGAUACCCGGGUAGUCCCAGCUGUAAACGAUGCGCGUUAGGUGUAUCAGUGACCACGAGUCACUGAGGUGCCGAAGAGAAAUCGUGAAACGUGCCGCCUGGGAAGUACGGUCGCAAGGCUGAAACUUAAAGGAAUUGGCGGGGGAGCACAAGGGCGAUUCGCG